CUGACCUGGACAUCAUCAUAAGUGAUUUGCGCAUGCACAGAAGCUUCUGCGCAGGCACAAUGUGAACCGGUAGUAAAGCCACGACUGCAGCAAAAUUUUUUGCCACCUUUAGAGUUAUAUUGGGGUCUGCGUCCUGGAGUAGGAAAUAAAGGCUGAACAUAUCAGGUCUCUUUUGUGGAUGUUUUUUUAUCAAGAGGGAUCCAUUCUAUGACUGCCUUGUUCCACCGCCAUCAGUUCUUGCUAAGUGACCAGCCCAUUUCCAUUUCAAUUCUUUUAUUCUCUUGAUGAUAUUGUAUAUUUUCAUUUGUUCUCUAAUCUAUGUGCUAAUUGUUAUUAUUAUAGCAUAGUUUGAAGGUUCCAAAUGAAAUUAACUAAAAGAAACUAUAUCUAUACAUUUUGUUUCAUGUAAUGAAAAAACACAUUUUUGUUCUAUUUGACUUCUGAACUGAAUAAAGUGAAGUGAGAAAGUGUA